rnacentral:misc_RNA from 1 species
GAUGAAGAACGCAGCGAAAUGCGAUACGUAAUGUGAAUUGCAGAAUUCAGUGAAUCAUCGAGUCUUUGAACGCACAUUGCGCCCCCUGGUAUUCCGGGGGGCAUGCCUGUCCGAGCGUCAUUGCUGCCCUCAAGCACGGCUUGUGUGUUGGGCCUCCGUCCUCCUCCCGGGGGACGGGCCCGAAAGGCAGCGGCGGCACCGCGUCCGGUCCUCGAGCGAAUGGGGCUUCGUCACCCGCUCUUGUAGGCCCGGCCGGCGCUUGCCGACACAUCAAUCUUUUUUCCAGGUUGACCUCGGAUCAGGUAGGGAUACCCGCUGAACUUAAGCAUAUCAAUAAGCGGAGGA